UUAACUCAAAUUUGUAUGGAGUUGGAACGUUUACCUAAGGUUACCGCUAGGGGCGCUGUUCUAACUCCAUACAAAUUUGAGUUA
rfam:Bombyx mori DNA, contig: Bm_scaf29_contig18343, strain: p50T/Dazao, build 2, whole genome shotgun sequence.